GAUGAACGCUGGCGGCGUGCCUAAUACAUGCAAGUCGAGCGAACAGAUAAGGAGCUUGCUCCUUUGACGUUAGCGGCGGACGGGUGAGUAACACGUGGGUAACCUACCUAUAAGACUGGGAUAACUUCGGGAAACCGGAGCUAAUACCGGAUAACAUUUGGAACCGCAUGGUUCUAAAGUGAAAGAUGGUUUUGCUAUCACAUAUAGAUGGACCCGCGCCGUAUUAGCUAGUUGGUAAGGUAACGGCUUACCAAGGCAACGAUACGUAGCCGAGCUGAGAGGGUGAUCGGCCACACUGGAACUGAGACACGGUCCAGACUCCUACGGGAGGCAGCAGUAGGGAAUCUUCCGCAAUGGGCGAAAGCCUGACGGAGCAACGCCGCGUGAGUGAUGAAGGGUUUCGGCUCGUAAAACUCUGUUAUUAGGGAAGAACAAACGUGUAAGUAACUGUGCACGUCUUGACGGUACCUAAUCAGAAAGCCACGGCUAACUACGUG
rnacentral:rRNA from 1 species